rnacentral:misc_RNA from 1 species
AAGUCGUAACAAGGUUUCCGUAGGUGAACCUGCGGAAGGAUCAUUAACACGUAUCCAACGUUAAACAACCCUGUGAACUUUCAACCGCUCUUGUAGCCCCGGUAAAUCAAUUGGAGAAAAGGUUUUGAUUCGGGACCUCUGUCCAUCAGGCUACAAUCGAGCUAGGAGCAGUGGCAUGGUUUCCCUAAGCAGUGCAGAAGGAUCCACUGAGUAAGGAUAACGCCUCACGGUUGCCAGAGGUCGAUCACCGGCCGGCAGACAUGUCACAGGGCUAUAUGCCCCCUCAUUCACACCUUGCCCUAUCUGGCCCCACGGAAACGUUGGGGCACAAACCGAACAACUGUUAACAAUGGAUAUCUUGGUUCUC